rnacentral:rRNA from 1 species
GAUGAACGCUAGCUACAGGCUUAACACAUGCAAGUCGAGGGGAAACGACAUCGAAAGCUUGCUUUUGGUGGGCGUCGACCGGCGCACGGGUGAGUAACGCGUAUCCAACCUGCCCAUCACUUGGGGAUAACCUUGCGAAAGUAAGACUAAUACCCAAUGACGUCUCUAGAAGACAUCUGAAAGAGAUUAAAGAUUUAUCGGUGAUGGAUGGGGAUGCGUCUGAUUAGCUUGUUGGCGGGGUAACGGCCCACCAAGGCGACGAUCAGUAGGGGUUCUGAGAGGAAGGUCCCCCACAUUGGAACUGAGACACGGUCCAAACUCCUACGGGAGGCAGCAGUGAGGAAUAUUGGUCAAUGGGCGGAAGCCUGAACCAGCCAAGUAGCGUGCAGGAUGACGGCCCUAUGGGUUGUAAACUGCUUUUAUAUGGGGAUAAAGUGAGUUACGUGUAGCUUAUUGCAGGUACCAUAUGAAUAAGGACCGGCUAAUUCCGUG